rnacentral:rRNA from 1 species
UACGUAGGGUCCGAGCGUUGUCCGGAAUUACUGGGCGUAAAGAGCUCGUAGGUGGUUUGUCGCGUUGUUCGUGAAAACUCACAGCUCAACUGUGGGCGUGCGGGCGAUACGGGCAGACUUGAGUACUGCAGGGGAGACUGGAAUUCCUGGUGUAGCGGUGGAAUGCGCAGAUAUCAGGAGGAACACCGGUGGCGAAGGCGGGUCUCGUGGGCAACUCCGUGACGCUGAGGCGCGAAAGCGUGGGGAGCAAACGGGG